CCAUAGCAGUGACAGUUCUGACUCAUUAACCACUAGGCCUCCAGGGAAUACUGCACUCUGCCAUCUUGACUGGAAGGUGGAUCUGUGUCUCCAGGUGUCAAGAGACAUGCCUAAAUUCACACAACAGCAGAGCUGCACCUGUGCAGGAAGCAACAAAUAUACCACAUGUUCUAAAAGUUCAGGACUAAUUGUUCAAGAUUGGGAAGGAGGCACUAGAGUUUUAAAAAAAGAAAGAAGAGAGAGAGAGAAAGAAAACAAGCCUCUUAUCUAAAAGUGAAAUCCUUCCCCUGAAGAAGCACACAUCUGGAAUUCAUUCUCUGCUGCAGCAAGCCACAAACUAUCGCUCUACCAGGACCCUGUCCAGCCACCGCGCAGCGGUGACUGCAUGCAGACUGUGCUUCGUGAGAGGCUGGUAGAGUUUUUCUCUGAUAAAUAUUCUUGCACAAGUUAGUUUUCAAGCUACGGUUCAUAAAUAUACAGUAUUCCAGCAAAAAAGUACAGAAUGUCCUCUUGGGGUUGACAAGCAAAUAGUUUCAUAAAUAACCCUCUUGACACGUGCAAGAUGUUAACAUUUUUGAGGUUUUGGGUAGGGGCAGACAAGGAUUUAAUUGCUCGAUUCAGUCUGGAGCCACUCUAGACUUGGACGUUACCUCUUGGGGGCCAAUGGAAAUGUUUUUCUUGGCCUCACAGAGUUCAUGUUGCCUGUCAGCACUGAGGACAAAGUCCUCUCCUCAGAAAAUUCUGGGUCAGUGGGCUGCACAGGUGAAGCAAGGGCGCCUGCUCUGAGGCAUCAAAUAUAAUGCAAUUCCUUACACAGGAGGAGGGCUGGGCUAUUGCAGAGGCACUGAUUGCCCAGCUUGGAAAAUAACACAUCCGUGAAAAAAAGGAACAAGUUCCAAAGAAGCCUCUUA